rnacentral:rRNA from 1 species
UACGUAGGGCGCAAGCGUUAUCCGGAAUUAUUGGGCGUAAAGAGUUCGUAGGCGGUUUGUCGCGUCUGCCGUGAAAGUCCGGGGCUCAACUCCGGAUCUGCGGUGGGUACGGGCAGACUAGAGUGAUGUAGGGGAGACUGGAAUUCCUGGUGUAGCGGUGAAAUGCGCAGAUAUCAGGAGGAACACCGGUGGCGAAGGCGGGAUCCUGGGCCAGUACUGACGCUGAGGAGCGAAAGCGUGGGGAGCAAACAGG